rnacentral:rRNA from 1 species
CCACCUACGGGGGGCAGCAGUGGGGAAUAUUGCACAAUGGGGGAAACCCUGAUGCAGCGACGCCGCGUGAGUGAGGAAGUAUUUCGGUAUAUAAAGCUCUAUCAGCAGGGAAGAAAAUGACGGUACCUGACUAAGAAGCCCCGGCUAACUACGUGCCAGCAGCCGCGGUAAUACGUAGGGGGCAAGCGUUAUCCGGAUUUACUGGGUGUAAAGGGAGCGUAGACGGAGGAGCAAGUCUGAUGAGAAAAUCGGGGGCCCAACCCCGGAACUGCAUUGGAAAGUGUUUAUCUAGAGUGUCGGAGAGG